GCGAGAGUGGCGGAACUGGCAGACGCACUAGACUUAGGAUCUAGCGCCUUAUGGUGUGAGGGUUCAACUCCCUCCUCUCGCA
rnacentral:tRNA from 2 species